ACACGACUACAUUAGAUACCCGUGUAGUCCCAGCCCUAAACGAUGCGCGUUAGGUGUAUCGGUGACCACGAGUCACCGGGGUGCCGAAGGGAAACCGUGAAACGUGCCGCCUGGGAAGUACGGUCGCAAGGCUGAAACUUAAAGGAAUUGGCGGGGAGCACCACAACGGGUGGAGCCUGCGGUUUAAUUGGACUCAACGCCGGGAAGCUCACCGGAUAAGACAGCGGAAUGAUUGCCGGGCUGAAGACCCUGCAUGACCAGCUG
rnacentral:rRNA from 1 species